UCAGUGCCGUGCCACUUUAGGUUGCAGUUGCAGUUGCAGUGCUGCACCCGUUCGUGGGCGGAACACAAAUUGAUUGUCCGUCCUCAAAUAACAAAAAACCGAGCAACUUGUUUUGAUUGCGAUAAUUAAAGCCUGCUAAUUGUCCAUAAAU